AGCUCAACAGAACACAACUCAAUUCAACAGCUCAACAGAACACAUCUCAGUCAACAGCUCAACAGAACACAUCACAGUCAACAGCUCAACAGAACACAUCUCAGUCAACAGCUCAACAGAACACAUCUCAGUCAACAGCUCAACAGAACACAACUCAGUCAACUCACUUAUACAACUCAACAGAACACAUCUCAGUCAACAGCGCAACAGAACACAUCUCUGUAACGUCACAUCCUGGCUUUGUCUUUAGUGUUGCAUCCCUUAGGUCAGUGUUUCCCAAACUCCGUCCUGGGGACUCCAAGAGGUGGAAAGCUUCCUGUUUUGCAGCCGCUCAAUGCCACCCAACAGUGACAGGAAGGAUCUCGCUCUCUCCUUCUAGAUAAGAUUCUCUCUCUCUCCCUCAGGGCCCCCUGUCUGCAUGGCAGGGGUCGUGUUUCACCAGUGAGGACCUCCUUGAUCCCGCCUGGAGGAUGUAAGAAAAGAAAGGAGGGGAAAAGAGAGAAGGUGGAAAGAGAGAAGACAAAGGGAAUACACAAAGAAGUGUGUUGUGAGUUAAUUCAUUGCUUCUGUUCCGGCUGCAUUGGGUAACAUGACCUGACGCAAGCUCUCUGAGCUGAGGAGACACCUGCACAGAGGAGGAAACCACAGCUACGUCUGGUCUACAGCUGCAGUCCAAAAAAUCCGUUUUACAAGAAACUACACUACUUCUUUACAGUGCAGCUUGAUUGGGAAGACCGUACAUUACAUAGGCUGAAAUUCAAUUGAAUGAACCCGGUGGACUUUCUUCUUGAUUACUCUAGGUGUAUGUAAUGCCCGAUGCUUUACGUAGUAAACAUUUCACUUCUCGUUUA
rnacentral:lncRNA from 1 species